rnacentral:tRNA from 1 species
GAGCCAGUAGCUCAGCUGGAUAGAGCAACGGACUUCUAAUCCGUAGGUCGGGGGUUCGAAUCCCUUCUGGCUCGCCA